rnacentral:rRNA from 1 species
UACAGAGGGUGCGAGCGUUGUUCGGAAUUAUUGGGCGUAAAGGGCGCGUAGGCGGUGCCACAAGUCACCUGUGAAAUCCCCGGGCUCAACCCGGGAACUGCGUCCGAUACUGGAAGGCUUGAAUCCGGGAGAGGGAUGCGGAAUUCCAGGUGUAGCGGUGAAAUGCGUAGAUAUCAGGAGGAACACCCGUGGCGAAAGCGGCUCUCUGGGACGGUACUGACGCUGAGACGCGAAAGCGUGAGGAGCAAACAGG